rnacentral:rRNA from 1 species
GACGAACGCUGGCGGCGUGCUUAACACAUGCAAGUCGAACGAAGAGCGAUGGAAGCUUGCUUCUAUCAAUCUUAGUGGCGAACGGGUGAGUAACGCGUAAUCAACCUGCCCUUCAGAGGGGGACAACAGUUGGAAACGACUGCUAAUACCGCAUACGAUCUAAUCUCGGCAUCGAGGAUAGAUGAAAGGUGGCCUCUAUUUAUAAGCUAUCACUGAAGGAGGGGAUUGCGUCUGAUUAGCUAGUUGGAGGGGUAACGGCCCACCAAGGCGAUGAUCAGUAGCCGGUCUGAGAGGAUGAACGGCCACAUUGGGACUGAGACACGGCCCAGGCUCCUACGGGAGGCAGCAGUGGGGAAUCUUCCGCGAUGGACGAGAGUCUGACGGAGCAACGCCGCGUGAGUGAUGACGGCCUUCGGGUUGUAAAGCUCUGUUAAUCGGGACGAGAGGCCUUCUUGCGAAUAGUUAGAAGG